AUACGGAGGGUGCAAGCGUUACUCGGAAUCACUGGGCGUAAAGCGCGCGCAGGCGGUCUUUUAAGUUGGAUGUGAAAGCCUACGGCUCAACCGUAGAACUGCAUCCAAAACUAUUAGACUAGAGUGUGGGAGAGGAAGAUGGAAUUAGUUGUGUAGGGGUAAAAUCCGUAGAGAUAACUAGGAAUACCAAAAGCGAAGGCAAUCUUCUGGAGCACUACUGACGCUGAGGCGCGAAAGCGUGGGGAGCAAUCAGGAUUAGAAACCCUAGUAGUCC
rnacentral:rRNA from 1 species